GUCGAGGAGGAAAGUUUAUAGUAAAAAGGCAGGCAGAGGAAAAGAGAAAGCCGGUUGGAUAGGAGACCGAUCAAUUUGUUCUUGUACAAAGAACCCACUCAUUCACUCAGUGUGGUAGCUGCCUACUCCUUUUAUUUAUCCUUCGGAGGCUUAUGCUGAGCCCCUGUUGUGCGGCAAGCAUGUAUGCAUCAGGCACAGAACCUGUACUUCAGGAAUCUGUACUUAUUGCAAAGAAAAGUGCUAUUAAAGUUCAGAAGAGAGGGCCGGGGAUUUAGCUCAGUGGUGGUGCCCCCGCCUGCUUCCGAAGCUCAAAGUCCCGGGUUUGAUCCCAGAUACCCAAAACAAAACAAAAAACUAAAGUUCAGAAGAGAAAGCUAUUAGAUCCAACUGUAUCGAUCCAACUGUAUCGUUAUUCACUCCUUUAUCUAUUAUGUGUCAGAAUGCUGACCCAAGAGGACUUAUGAAGGUGCUCCAGAAAACAGGCUAAGCAUGUGAGGACUGUGUGUGUGUGUGUGUGUGUGUGUAUGUGUGUGUGUGUAAGGUCCUCCAGGGAGCCCAAAGGAGGAGUAAACUGACUUUAUAGCCUUGUUUAUUGGAAAGGAGUGGUCGAUAGGCUAGGACCAGACUUAGAAAAUCUGCAAUGCAUUGUUUUGCUGGUAGGUGAACUGGAUGACUAAAAGACAUAAGAAAAUAUUUUUCACUUCAUAUUCUUCAGUUCUUUAAAAAUUGUAUUAGUUAAUUUUCCAUCCCUGUGACGAAAUACCUAUAGGAUACCUGACACUCACAACUUAAAGGCGAGGCUCAACUCAGUGUAGGGUUUCAGGUUUUAGUCCAUGGUCAGUUGGUUGACUCCAAAGCAUAAAGGGCUUGACGUGGAAGGACAUGACAGAGGAGAGCUGCUCAACUCAAUGGCAGUUAGAAAGCAGAAAAGCAAGAUAGCCAGAGCAAGAGUUAUACCCCCCUUGACCCACCUUAUUCAACUGGGCCCUACCUCCUAAUAGCCCAUUCAGUUAUGAACUCAUCAAUGGAUGAGGUUAGCAACCUCAUGAUCCAAUCACAUUCUGAGAGCCCCACUUCUAAAACCUGAGACUUUUGGAGGACAUUUUAGACCUAACAAGAAUUCUGCACCUACUAAAAAUAGCAUGGAGAUGGAUGAAUACAAGGGAAACAAGGGCAUCAUAUUUGACUAAACUGAAUCAGCAUGGUUCGGGCGCAGAGGAUCCACCUGAAGAUUGUUACCAACAGCCAUAAAAAGAGAACCGGAGAAGAUCUUGGCCAGUUCUGCUAGGCGAAGCUUGCUGCUCCUGAUGCAAACUAGGCUAUUAUCAUUGGAGGAGCUUGGGACCUUGCUGUCAUUGGGAAUGGCUGCUGUUUUCAUCAGGGGAGCUCUGACCUUUACUGUGAGCAUCACUUCCUGGCUCCAAUGUGGAUUCCUCAGCUUGGUGGCACAAAUCCUUCAUCUCACCAGCAUGGAUUUUCUGGCUUCCACCACUGGCCUUUGGGCCUUCCAGGUGUAGAUCCUUAAUAUGGACAAGCAUAAGACAUUGCUGUGGGCUCUAGGCCACUGGCUGGACUCGAGGAUAUUGCCUUGGACUCUUAGCUGGACUUGUGUGGGAAACUGGUGGGAUCUAGGCCCUCAGCUGAAUCCUUUGGGCUUCCAGUGUGUGGUUAAUCUCUUGCACUCCUUUGCAUUUGACUCUUUGGGUAAUUAUCAUAAAAUAAACUUAUAAGUUAUGUGUCCUGUAUUUAAUGUCUUCCCUUGCCGAAUCCUUCUGACUACCAAAAUGACCAACACUUACUUUACCAUAAGUCCUAUUUAAUUCCAAAAGAACAUACAGGGAUGCCAGAUGUGGUGGCACGUGUCUGUAAUCCCAGCACUCUGGGAAGUUGAGGCUGGAAGAACACCAAGUUUGAGCCCAUCCAGGGUAACUUAGCAAGACCCUAUCUCAAAAAAAUUUUUAAAGGGCUGCAGAUGUAUGUUGGUCCAAAGGCCUUCGGUUCAAUCUUCAGUACUGCAAACAACCACCACCACAAAGCCAGGGACUGCUUAUUUUGUGCUCUGCUUCUACUUCGUUAACUUUCACAUUGUCCCAAGCCAUAUUCAGCUGUUGUAUUACAAUCUGGUUUUUAUAAUGAAUAGAUUCAAAAUUUAAUUUAAAAAUCAUUUAAUACAUAAAGUGAAAAACUAGAAUAUAAAAGCAUUUUACAUUUUUAAAACAAA